AUGGGGGUCCAUGGAGGUCCAUGGGGCUGGGUCAAGUUCUCGGGAUUAGGAACUGAAUCAGAGACUUGGACCAUUUGGUAGGCUGGCAGAUUGGGUCACUGCUUUCUGUGGCACCUUUGGGAUCUCCUCUCCUUUUUACAAUCAGGACGGCCCUGUGGGAAUAUUGGCUUCUGACCUGCUGCUAGGCAAGGACAGGUUCCCUGCAUGGCAGCAUCCUCCAAGAAGACCUGGAAAAAGCGGGGAGGAUCUGAAGAAGGGAAAUCGUGUUCUCUGCUGAUAGGUAAAAUGGUCCAGCUGCUAAGGAAGACAGCAUGGUAGACCCCCUGCAAACUGGAAAUAGAACCACCAGGACCCAGCUGUUGCUCUGCUUGGGUAUACAUGCUAAAGAGCAGGGACCAGGGGGAGACUUCCCGUCACCAGAGCAGUAUUUACAAUAGGCCAUCCAAAGGUCUGGCAAAGGGUGACCAGAUAGCAAUGUGGUGUGCUCACACAGUGGACUCUGCCUUUCAAAGAAAGGAAAUUCUGGCAAGUGUUUCAGCCUGUGGGAAACAAGCCAGUCACAGAAAGAUAAAAACCAUAUGACUCCUCCUUGCAUGAGACGUUCGCGCAGUCUGUCUGAGAUGCAGAAAGCGGUCACUGCUGGGGCGUUUAAAGGAGGUGGAAUUGCAGUUUGGGAAGAAGCAAAAGCUCUAGAGAGCCCUGUGGUGUCUUGCGCCUCCCACCCUAACACUCAGGAGUCUGAGGCAGAGUUGCCAUGAGUUCAAGGCCAGCCCAAACUACAACAUGAGGACCUGUCUCAAAAAGAAAUAAAUAGAUAGGUAAAAAUCAAUGGACCAAACAAACAAACAAACACUGGAGGAGGAGGGUGGUGACGGUUGCACAAGGAUAUGAAGAAGCUUAAAGCCGCUCAACCGUCGUCUCUACGGUUACAGUGCUGCACCUUGCUAUACACCUUUUACUGCGAUGAAAACGCAUAAAAGGAAGAGGAGGCUGGGAAGAUUCUUAUAAUUAUUUAGCCUAGAAGGAGACACAUGGAAGCAGGAGUUUGGGAGACAGGAAGAAUUGCAUGCUGACAGCUGACAGCUAGGAAAAAGUCCUAGCGAUAAUUAGAUGAUGUUUGCUCGAAUUUAAAUGGUGUACAUUUGCAGUCCGGCUCGCCAGAAUUUGUUACCUGGUGGAGGGAUUUUAACGAUAGUACGCUACUUAUGGAAAAACAGUGAAUUUUCCUUCAUUUUUUUUGACAUUCCAUUGUUAAAAGCUUUUUAAAACUCUGUAUGCUAUCUACUGCUAGGCUCAUUUACCUGCUUAUUAUUGUUCUCUUUAAAACAAGAUCAAUUCUCAUGUAGCCCGAGCUGGCCUCAGUAAAGGAUGACUCUGAAGGCCUGAUCCUCCUGUCUCCACCUCUACCUAGUUCUGUUGUCGUUAAAACAUCAAGGCAAGGGGGAGUGGUGACCCCUGCCUGUAAAUUCCAGCAUCUGUGAGCUGGAGGCAAGAAGAUGACAUCAAGGCCAGGCUUGACUCCAUAGAUUUUUUCCCCUAUGGAUUUUAUUUAGCACUCGAGCAGAUAAGAUUUACAGGGAUACAGUUGGUGAAUAUUCUAAUCCACCCAGGGCUCAAACGCUCACAGCGGCUUAGUGCGGUUCUGCGAUUUCAUGGCUGCCACAGAUAAAGUGGCUUGUCAUUCUGCGAGGUACAUCUCCUGACACAGUGUCUGCGCCGGCCAGGCUCAGAGUCAGGCUUCCGCAAGAGCCGUGGGUGUUCUGCAGCCCUCUGCAUGACCGAGCCUUGUUAAACAUCUUCAGACAAAGGCACUGAAUUAUUAGUGUGUGACUUCAUCGCCUUUCCAUCAUGAAUCUCUCAGGAAGUUCCCUUCCUAAUGACUGAAACUCUUGAGGGUCCUCAUCAGGACAGAAGAUGCCUUUACCAGCAAGUUCUCUGGCCUCUUGACAGGGUGAAGCCCCUCCAGGGUAGGACUAUCUACAUUGUAGGGUUUCCAUUCAUACGAAGGAACACUUUAACUUAUGUAUAUGAUGUUUUGCCUGUAUGUAUCAGUGCGCCAUGAGUGUGCAUGCAGUCCCCCACAAAGGCCAGCAAAGGAUUCUGGGUCCCCUGCAACGGGAACUGUAUGUGGUUGUGAGCUGCCCUGUGGGAGCUGGGAAGUGAAACCAGGUCCUCUGCAAGAGCAGUGUGUGGUCUUAGCAGCUGAGACUCCAGCCCACAAAGGAGUGUUUCAGUGACUCCAGCCAAGGACAUUAGCACCUGGGUCCCUGAGUAUGGCUGGGUUGUGUGUGCUGUUCUGCCCUGUGGGUGUUACCUUGCAUUUGUUUCUGGGUACAGCAUUGCUCUCAGAACAGGGGGUAAAUGUUGAUUCUCUCUGCUUUCUUUUCUCUUGUCUAUCUCCAGUUAUUUGUGGGAGUCCGAGCGGUGACCGUGUUAAACUGAGUAAUGUCUUAGGACUGUCUCAUUCAAGCAAGGAUCAUCGGGACCGUUCGUUUGAGCUCCUCUCCCAACAUAAGACAGGUCAUGAUGCUCCAGGCUGUGAAAAGGCAGGGACAACAUCCUGCCAUUUGAAUCUGGGGAGCAUGGUACAUAAGCUAGUAAAGUCGUAUCAACUCAUAUCAUUCUAACUGAAAACACCAACCUCAGGUUCUAGGCUGGGUAUACUUGAGAAUCAUUCCUAGCAUUUAGAAGAGUUUACUAAGGUACGAUUUGCUUUCUUCUAGAUGGAGCCUGUUUUAACCGUAUAUGUGACUUGGGGACCCUCUCCUGAAUGAAUGGGGAGCAGCACAGGCUAUAGUAGCAGCGGCAGGUAAAGUGAGAGCCCUGGGGUCUGGAGCAUAGACAUCCAGGCCUGCGUUUUGCAUGUGUGAUUCCCUGCUCUCCAGAUGCCUCUCCUCUAAAAGCCUUGUUUUUGAAAACAGCUCAGGAGGCCUGACCCAAUCAGAAGCUGGAAGAGAAAAAGUGAAUUAGCUGGUUUGCCUGGUUCUACUCUUUGAGCAAAAACCUAUUUGGUGUUGCUCUGGGCUGUGAAAGAUUCUGGGAACAGAAGAUGGAGCACCCGGGUCCUGAUAGCUCAUAGCCCAGGGGGAGGAGGAAUAGAGCCAGGUGGAAGGUGCUCCUGGGACCUCCACCUACAAAGAGGGAAAGGAGAGAUGGAGCUGGGCCCCUGGCUCUGGGCUCCCCUACACUGUCCUGAGUAUGAGAUAAGGAUGGUGGGCAGGCUGCCGAGCGCACACCCACAGAUGCAGGGUGUGCAGCCAUGCAAGAUCAGAGUCCCGGCAGCAAGAGUGAGAACUUGGCCAGGGAGGGGGCCAGAAACAGUAGCAAGAGCCGGAGUAGCCUUACUGCUUGGGAUGUUUUCCUCCUGCUUGCUAAUGAAUAACUUACGACAACAGAGUCAAACAAAUGACUUCACAGGCUUGGCAAGAAAAUGUUAGCCUACUCCGUCAGGUGACAAAACCCGGCCAGGUGGUGUAGAAAAUUCCACUGAAUUCUCCUAGGAGCACUCUCCGACUUCUGAGUUCUCCAAAGCCCUGGCCAAUAAAAAUAAAAUAUGUUCGACAGGAGGAGAGGCAGCCGCAGAAGGAGGAGAGGCUUUGCUCCAGAGGGCACACAGCUGCGUCCAUCAGUUCACCGUCACCAGGCUAACUGGGCAUUUGCAUGAAAACACUGGGUGAGCACUUUGGUGGAAAGGGUCACCGAAAGCUGAGCUUGGCAUGAAGAGUUGCCUUGUUCCACAGAAGGACAGACAGGGAAAGACACUCAUAUCUUCACCUCAGUAUGGCUAGUCCUCGACAGGGAAGCUGACCCAGAGAAGAGGCUGGACAGGCGGACCGGCUGCUCAGUGUCCCAGGGAAGAACAUGUCUGUUCCGGAAAUCGACAGAAAAAGAAUCACAGUUAGCCAACAAGUGGGACCCUGAAAAAUAGAAGUGUCAGGGAAGAGUCACUUUUAGUCCAUUCGCUUUGUGAAAAUUGGGGAGAGUGGUGGGUUGAAUGUAAAUAUCUGCCUGGUAGACAUACCUGUGAUCCCAGCACUUGAGAAGCUGAGCCAGGAGGAUUACUGUGGUUUGAGGUCAGCUUAGGCUCCAUAAUCAGACCUUGUCUCAAAGCCAAACAAACAGAAGCUAAGCACCAAACAUAAACGUUGCUGUGCUGAGUAUAUUCUACCGGGCGCGCGGCUGUUCCCACCAUCAGUCCGUAGUCUACCCUCGGGCUUUGUAGUGUCCCUUUUGUCCUAAUGCUGUUUACAGGUUUCCAAGAGUAAUUCUCAUUCUUUCU